CCCCCCGAAUUGUAGUCUAGAAAGGCGCCAUCGGCCGCGCCCGCCGCUCAAAUCCCUUGGAACAGGGUAUCGGAGAAGGUGAGAAUCCUGUACCGUGGCGGUCCGCGGCCGCACGAUGCGCUUUUGCAGAGUCGGGUUGCUUGGGAUUGCAGCUUGAAGUGGGUGGUAAAUUCCAUCUAAAGCUAAAUACUGGCUCAUGACCGAUAGCGAACAAGUACCGUGAGGGAAAGAUGCAAAGAACUUUGAAAAGAGAGUUAAAGAGUGCUUGAAAUCGGCGAGAGGAAACCCGGUUGCGCCCGGUUUCGUGCAGAUGACUCAGGAGUUUCGUAGCUUCGCAUUUUGUCUGCGCGGGUCCGUCGCGAUUAUUUGCUCGUCACAACCACCAGGUGGGCUUCGGUGAUCCUGGACAUGACGCGCUUGUGAUCCCGUCGGACGUAACGGGCGCAACCGACCCGUCUAGAAACACGGACCAAGGAGUCUGACACGGAUGCGAGUACCCGGGUGGCAAGCCCGCGUGCGCAAUGAAAGUAAAGGGCGUGCCCCGCCAACCGACCUUGAUCUUCUGUGAAGGGUUUGAGUCGAGCAUCACUGUCGGGACCCGAAAGAUGGUGAACUAUGCCUGAGGAGGUUGAAGUCUGCCGAAAGGCAGAUGGAGGACCGUAGCGAUACUGACGUGCAAGUCGUUCGUCGAACUUGGGUGUAGGGGCGAAAGACUAAUCGAACCAUCUAGUAGCUGGUUCCCUCCGAAGUUUCCCUCAGGAUAGCUUGGACGCAAGGGUUUUGU
rnacentral:rRNA from 1 species